rnacentral:rRNA from 1 species
CCUACGGGCGGCAGCAGUGGGGAAUAUUGGGCAAUGGAGGCAACCCUGACCCAGCAAUGCCGCGUGAAGGAAGAAGGUUUUCGGGUUGUAAACUUCUUUUCUGAGGGACGAAGAAGGUGACGGUACCUCAGGAAUAAGCCACGGCUAACUACGUGCCAGCAGCCGCGGUAAUACAUAGGUGGCAAGCGUUGUCCGGAAUGAUUGGGCGUAAAGGGCGCGUAGGCGGUAAAGUAAGUUAGACGUGAAAACUCAGGGCUCAACCCUGAGACUGCAUUCGAGACUGAUGGUCUUGAGUGUAGGGGGGGUAAGCGGAAUUCCGAGUGUAGCGGUGAAAUGCGUAGAUAUUAGGAGGAACACCAGUGGCGAAGGCGGAUUGCUGGAUAGUAACUGACGCUGAGGCUCGAAAGCGUGGGUAGCAAACAGGAUUAGAUACCCUAGUAGUC